GUGUCAGCCGCCGCGGUAAGACGGAGGGCGCAAGCGUUGUUCGGAAUCACUGGGCGUAAAGCGCGCGCAGGCGGGUGUGCAAGUCGGAAGUGAAAUCCCGGGGCUCAACUCCGGGGCUGCUCCCGAAACUGCUCAUCUGGAGACCGGUAGAGGUGGGUAGAAUUCCCGGUGUAGCGGUGGAAUGCGUAGAGAUCGGGAAGAAUACCUGUGGCGAAGGCGGCCCACUGGGCCGGUUCUGACGCUGAGGCGCGAAAGCGUGGGGAGCAAACAGGAUUAGAAACCCUCGUAGUCC
rnacentral:rRNA from 1 species